UUGCAAAAAACAGAUUUCAAUCAAAUAAGCCAAAACAAAACAAAGAAAGAAACGAAAAGGCAAUACAACAUUUAGAUGUUUCUAACCCAAAACAGAGCGUUAUAUAAUUAAAGGAAAACAAUAAACUAAAAGAAGAAUCAUUUGUUGAUAGAACUCUAAGCUUCUGCUGCAUACAGAGAAAUGAUGCUCAAAUGAGGUACCGACUAAAAACUCAGACCGGCGACGGGACCUCGCACGGACUUUUAAAUCGACCUGGACGCACCGGACCUCGACGAACUCGAAAUAUAAAUAUGGCAUCGGAACAGUCAUGGAAAUGGAUUAUUUGGGGUGGUUUGCGGCUAUCAGUUCCCUGUCCUCUCUACCUUUCGUGCGUGUGUGUGUCGCGGUGUUUCCGGCGAGUUACGGUGGUUAGAAGAAGGGAUCUAUUGGUUUGGUCUUCAUCGAGAAAAUGAUCUCCAAGGUCUCUCUCUUGUCAAAAAUGGCUGAAGAUGGAGGAGGGUCCUGUGCAUGGUCGCCGGCUUGGUUGAAGGCGGAAACGAUAGUGAUAAAAAGUGACCUUGGUGAGGGCGACAGGCUGCUGAAGCUCAGAAAAUUGCUGAAGUCUUCUUCAAGUUUGUGAAGAAAGAGAGGAAAAAAACCGAUGGUUGGGUGGGUGGGGGGN
rnacentral:lncRNA from 1 species